UAGGGAAUCUUCGGCAAUGGACGAAAGUCUGACCGAGCAACGCCGCGUGAGUGAAGAAGGUUUUCGGAUCGUAAAACUCUGUUGUUAGAGAAGAACAAGGACGUUAGUAACUGAACGUCCCCUGACGGUAUCUAACCAGAAAGCCACGGCUAACUACGUGCCAGCAGCCGCGGUAAUACGUAGGUGGCAAGCGUUGUCCGGAUUUAUUGGGCGUAAAGCGAGCGCAGGCGGUUUCUUAAGUCUGAUGUGAAAGCCCCCGGCUCAACCGGGGAGGGUCAUUGGAAACUGGGAGACUUGGGUGCAGAAGAGGAGAGUGGAAUUCGAUGUGUAGCGGUGAAAUGCGUAGAUAUAUGGAGGACCACCAGUGGCGAAGGCGGCUGUCUGGUCUGUAACUGACGCUGAGGCUCGAAAGCGUGGGGAGCAAACAGG
rnacentral:rRNA from 1 species